rnacentral:rRNA from 1 species
GACGAACGCUGGCGGCGUGCUUAACACAUGCAAGUCGAACGGGAAGGCCCCAGCUUGCUGGGGUACUCGAGUGGCGAACGGGUGAGUAACACGUGGGUGAUCUGCCCUGCACUCUGGGAUAAGCCUGGGAAACUGGGUCUAAUACCGGAUAGGACCGUGCUUUAGUGUGUGCGGUGGAAAGUUUUUCGGUGCAGGAUGAGCCCGCGGCCUAUCAGCUUGUUGGUGGGGUAAUGGCCUACCAAGGCGGCGACGGGUAGCCGGCCUGAGAGGGUGUACGGCCACAUUGGGACUGAGACACGGCCCAGACUCCUACGGGAGGCAGCAGUGGGGAAUAUUGCACAAUGGGCGCAAGCCUGAUGCAGCGACGCCGCGUGGGGGAUGACGGCCUUCGGGUUGUAAACCCCUUUCGGCAGGGACGAAGCUUUUGUGACGGUACCUGCAGAAGAAGCACCGGCUAACUACGUG